UGAGGGUGCUUGGAGAGGCUGGCAAAUAAACAGACUGGAAAGCAGCUUGCUCUGACGAGGGCCACUGCCAAUGGCUCUAAGAGAUAUCGGGACAGUGUUUGGAGGAAUACUUGGAUUGAGGAAUUGAGGCCUAAAUCAAAUCAAUGAACAAGGAUGUUUCCUCGGAAUGGGAUUGUUUGUGGAUCAUUUUUCCCUUUUCCUGGAACCUUGCAGGUGGGGUCUAGAGAUCCUUAAGAAGAGAACGUGGGUGUAAUCCUUCUGGAGCCACAAGAACUUUAAGCCAAGUCAAAAUGAAACACAAAAACAUUCUGCAAAAAGCUAACAGAAAGAAGACUGAAGCCCGUCUAACUGGCGGGGGGCCACCACCACCUCCCCUCACCCCAUCUGAGGAGCUGGCUCUGUCCCUUAAUAAAGGGCGACCAGAGGUUGCUGGCAUUCCAGGGAGCACUUCAUCACACAUACUAAGUACCACAAGUGAUGGUGAAAAAAGGGUGACAUGAUGAAGAUGAUGAUGAUGACGAUGAAGAGACCAC